UACGGGGGGGGUAAGCGUUGUUCGGAAUUACUGGGCGUAAAGCGCGCGUAGGCGGCUUUGUAAGUUAGAGGUGAAAGCCCGGGGCUCAACCCCGGAACUGCCUUUAAGACUGCAUCGCUUGAAUCCAGGAGAGGUGAGUGGAAUUCCGAGUGUAGAGGUGAAAUUCGUAGAUAUUCGGAAGAACACCAGUGGCGAAGGCGGCUCACUGGACUGGUAUUGACGCUGAGGUGCGAAAGCGUGGGGAGCAAACAGG
rnacentral:rRNA from 1 species